rnacentral:tRNA from 1 species
CCCUCUGUAACUCAGCUGGUAGAGUAGCUCCCUUUUAAGGAGACGGUCGUAGGUUCGAGCCCUACCGGAGGGA